UAACACCUCGUAGUGCGCAGCGGCUGAGCCUCCUGAAGUCUCGCGAGAAUUGAGAAGGGCCGACUGCGGGGGGGGGGGCAAAACGGAAUGGGAAAUGAAUGGUGGGGAAAGAAGGACUUCGCCAGUAUUCUAAGUUUAAAAAGUCGCCGGGACCUGACGACCUGAAUUCGAUCUGUAGAACCCGCGGAAGAAGACUCCUCAAAGUUGUCCUCUGAUCUUACGUGCGCCGCAGAGCGUGGUCUCACACACUCCCACACACUGAUAAAUGUAACUUAAAAACAGAACCAAGAAGGUGAUGACAUUUUCAAACCUGAGAAUUGACAUAAAAGAUUAAAGAUGGAUUUGGGAGGUGGC